rnacentral:rRNA from 1 species
GACGAACUUUUGGCGGCGUGCUUAACACAUGCAAGUCGAACGGUAAGGCUCCAGCUUGCUGGGGUACACGAGUGGCGAACGGGUGAGUAACACGUGGGUGACCUGCCCUGCACUUCGGGAUAAGCCUGGGAAACUGGGUCUAAUACCGGAUAGGACCGCACCGUGAGGGUGUGGUGGAAAGUUUUUUCGGUGUGGGAUGGGCCCGCGGCCUAUCAGCUUGUUGGUGGGGUAAUGGCCUACCAAGGCGGCGACGGGUAGCCGGCCUGAGAGGGUGGACGGCCACAUUGGGACUGAGACACGGCCCAGACUCCUACGGGAGGCAGCAGUGGGGAAUAUUGCACAAUGGGCGGAAGCCUGAUGCAGCGACGCCGCGUGGGGGAUGACGGCCUUCGGGUUGUAAACUCCUUUCACCAUCGACGAAGGGUUUCUGACGGUAGAUGGAGAAGAAGCACCGGCUAACUACGUGCCAGCAGCCGCGGUAAUACGUAGGGUGCGAGCGUUGUCCGGAAUUACUGGGCGUAAAGAGCUCGUAGGUGGUUUGUCGCGUCGUCUGUGAAAUUCCGGGGCUUAACUCCGGGCGUGCAGGCGAUACGGGCAUAACUUGAGUACUGUAGGGGAGACUGGAAUUCCUGGUGUAGCGGUGAAAUGCGCAGAUAUCAGGAGGAACACCGGUGGCGAAGGCGGGUCUCUGGGCAGUAACUGACGCUGAGGAGCGAAAGCAUGGGGAGCGAACAGGAUUAGAUACCCUGGUAGUCCAUGCCGUAAACGGUGGGCGCUAGGUGUGGGUUUCCUUCCACGGGAUCCGUGCCGUAGCUAACGCAUUAAGCGCCCCGCCUGGGGAGUACGGCCGCAAGGCUAAAACUCAAAGGAAUUGACGGGGGCCCGCACAAGCGGCGGAGCAUGUGGAUUAAUUCGAUGCAACGCGAAGAACCUUACCUGGGCUUGACAUAUACAGGAUCGCGCCAGAGAUGGUGUUUCCCUUGUGGCUUGUAUACAGGUGGUGCAUGGUUGUCGUCAGCUCGUGUCGUGAGAUGUUGGGUUAAGUCCCGCAACGAGCGCAACCCUUGUCUUAUGUUGCCAGCACGUUGUGGUGGGGACUCGUAAGAAACUGCCGGGGUUAACUCGGAGGAAGGUGGGGAUGACGUCAAAUCAUCAUGCCCCUUAUGCCCAGGGCUUCACACAUGCUACAAUGGUCGGUACAGUGGGUUGCCAGUCCGUGAGGGCGAGCUAAUCCCGCAAAGCCGGUCUCAGUUCGGAUCGGGGUCUGCAACUCGACCCCGUGAAGUCGGAGUCGCUAGUAAUCGCAGAUCAGCAGCGCUGCGGUGAAUACGUUCCCGGGCCU